ensembl:lncRNA
UUAUGCCUUGGAUUUAUAGUCAGGGGGUGUGGCUGGGGUCCACUCUCCCUUCAACCACUGUAAAUGUGAAAUCCAGUGAGCAAGUGGGAGGAAUGAGAGAAUAUGGGGACUCUUUCUCUUUCUCCCUCUGUCUCUUUCACUCCACAGUUCGAAGGAUCCUUAGGACAUAUGCUUGUCAUUAUCCAUUGAGGAAAAGCUCUGAUAAAUGGGAGCUGUACUUGAAUUAAUGGAAAUAGCUGCCUGGAGAUGCCCAAGAUGGCUGCAGAGUGGACUGACUGACUGAAACGGGACUUUGGUCUGGGUUUCUGGGGUGUUUUUAAAGAGGUGAGUGACACAGAACAUAUAUAAAAAAAAUGCUUCCCACAUCCUCACUUAUCUCACGUUAUCUGGAUACCUCAUUCAUCAUUUAGAUUAUCCAUGAUUAUUUUGAAAGUUUUCAUUUCAAAACUAUUUCUUUUAGUGAGAUGUAACUUGCUUAAUCAGAUGUGCAGUUUUUCCUGAA